rnacentral:rRNA from 1 species
ACGCUUUGUGGUUCAACUGAUUUGAAGAAGCUUGCUCAGAUAUGACGAUGGACAUUGCAAAGAGUGGCGAACGGGUGAGUAACACGUGGGAAACCUACCUCUUAGCAGGGGAUAACAUUUGGAAACAGAUGCUAAUACCGUAUAACAAUGACAACCGCAUGGUUGUUAUUUAAAAGAUGGUUCUGCUAUCACUAAGAGAUGGUCCCGCGGUGCAUUAGCUAGUUGGUAAGGUAAUGGCUUACCAAGGCGAUGAUGCAUAGCCGAGUUGAGAGACUGAUCGGCCACAAUGGGACUGAGACACGGCCCAUACUCCUACGGGAGGCAGCAGUAGGGAAUCUUCCACAAUGGGCGAAAGCCUGAUGGAGCAACGCCGCGUGUGUGAUGAAGGGUUUCGGCUCGUAAAACACUGUUGUAAGAGAAGAAUGACAUUGAGAGUAACUGUUCAAUGUGUGACGGUAUCUUACCAGAAAGGAACGGCUAAAUACGUGCCAGCAGCCGCGGUAAUACGUAUGUUCCAAGCGUUAUCCGGAUUUAUUGGGCGUAAAGCGAGCGCAGACGGUUAUUUAAGUCUGAAGUGAAAGCCCUCAGCUCAACUGAGGAAUUGCUUUGGAAACUGGAUGACUUGAGUGCAGUAGAGGAAAGUGGAACUCCAUGUGUAGCGGUGAAAUGCGUAGAUAUAUGGAAGAACACCAGUGGCGAAGGCGGCUUUCUGGACUGUAACUGACGUUGAGGCUCGAAAGUGUGGGUAGCAAACAGGAUUAGAUACCCUGGUAGUCCAACCGUAACAGAUGAGUGCUAGGUGUU